AUGUGUAUCUGCUUCUGCUGUAACACUGCUGUUAUGUGUAGGCCAUACGACCUACUGCUGUUAUGUGUAGGCCAUACGACCUACUGCUGUAACACUGCUGUUAUGUGUAGGCCUACGAGCUACUGCUGUUAUGUGGAGGCCUAUGAGCUACUGCUACACCAUUGUUAUGGAACCUCAUGUUCAUCUGAGUUAGUUGUUGCCAAUUAGCAUGGGGUUGUCUAUCGGUUAUCUAUCGGUUGAGUUGGAUGGGUAGGCAAUAGUCUAAGGUCAACGUUAAGCCUGUCCUUUUCAGAGGGCACAGAGAAGGUCCUACUGUACUGUUCAAACUGUCAAAUCCUAUCACAUCUACAUAGUGCCUAGGAGUUAAGGACCGGGGGGGGGGGUCUAUAUUAGUAGGUCAGAAAACAUUUGUAGGGUUAGCCGACCUAAUGCAUUAAGAUAAUCAUCAGUCUGUGGUGUCAUGCAACAGCUGUAAAUAGAAGUGAAGGCCAAUCCUCCAAUCUGCCUAAUCAUGUUGUGUUGCUCAGUAGCAUGGUCCCUCGUUCAGCAGGUCGGUCCUUUCCCGUGGGAACCAACAGACAUCUGCCUACAUUCACAUGAUAUAGAGGAACAUACAGAAACACAAACAUUUCUGUACACUGUCCAAGACAAUACACAUACACAGUACUGUAUCUACACUGAGUGGACAAAACAUUAGGAACACCUUCCUAAUAUUGAGUUGCCCCCCCCCAUUUUGCCCUCAGAACAGCCUCAAUUCGUGGGGACAUGGACUCUAUGAGGUGUUGAAAGCGUUCCACAGGGAUGCUGGUCCAUGUUGACUCCAAUGCUUCCCACGGUUGUGUCAAGUUGGCUGGAUGUCCUUUGGGUGGUGGACCAUUCUUGAUACACGCGGGAAACGGUUGAGCGUGAAAAACCCAGCAACGUUGUAGUUCUUGACACACUCAACCCGGUGUGCCUGGCACCUACUACCAUACCCCGUUAAAAGACACUUCAAUCUUUUGUCUUGACAUUCACCCUCUGAAUAGCACACAUACACAAUCCAUGUCUCAAAAAUCCUUAUUUAACUCGUCUCCUCACCUUCAUCUACACUGAUUUGAAGUGGAUUUAACAAGUGACUUCAAUAAGGUGUUCCUAAUGUUUUGUACACUCAGUGUAUAUUGUAUAUCUUAUUGUACAGUGGAAAUCUGAUAUUAGUUGGAUGUGGAAACUGAACUGGGGCAAUGGCUCCUUAGAAUCUGUGGAUUAUUUUAUAUCUAUGAUUCUGUUUGUCCUGUUCAAUGUAUAGCCUGGUAUUUAGGUGUUUUUCAGAAAAUGUUACCUGAUGCUCAUUCAAAUAUCAAUCCAAAUCAAAUCCAUCUUGACGAUAUUAAAUUGGAACUACUCUAGUACAAACCUUGAUCAAAUCUCCAGUAAAUUGGUGAUUUUGAUACUUUAGUGUACAACAUGUAGGUCAACAAGUAUCAUGUACACUACCACAUAAGUUACUAAUGAACAGAGAACGAGACAUUUUAAAAUGGCUGAGGAGAGAACACAAUAGGCCUUUUCCCACUGCAUUGCUCUUAGCCCCAGUCUGGACUGGUCACACACAGCAUUUGUUAACCCUGAGCUAACAGACAAACACAACAUGCGACCAAUGUCAAUAAGCAAUAAGACAUUUUAAUAAUCUAUUACUUCUUGCUUCUAGCCUGGCAUUUGAUUUCCAACAGUGAUGGUUGUAUAUAAACCUUGCUGUUUGUCUGUCCCACAUCGGAAACAAUGUCAACAAAACCCCCAUCUCUAUUUCCAUCGUGGUCCUGUCAGUUACUGUAGUCAAUACUGUAGGCGAUAUUGACACUGUACACUAAUUAAAUUGACAGGAGGGCGACGGAGGUCCUAAUGAACAGAAUUAGCUUAACUCGUGGUGUUGGGGCCUUUUGUCUGCUUGUGUCGGCAUGAACUCUGCAUGUCAAUCUCCAAGUGAGAGGAGAGAUUGACUGCCUCACUACAUGUCUUUUGUGAGAGGUAUUGACAUGUUGAAAGCACAGAGCUGUCUGUGUUUAAACGGCUAGUGCACAGCUCAGACACCCAUGCACCCCCCC
rnacentral:lncRNA from 13 species